UACAUGUCUUUCUUUUCCUAAUAACUUUGUUUUGCUUUGAGCAUGGUACUUUUCCCUUAGAAUUUGUUUAUUUCAUUUAUAUAUUGGCUUUAGCUUUAGAGGACUUGUGGGCUAGGAAGCAUGGACACUCUUCGGGGCUUCCGUGUCAGUGUUGGACGCGUGUCACACACCAACACACGGUCAACAGGUGGUACAUCUGACACGUGGUCAACGCUCCAAGUCCAACAUUUCGACACGCAUGGUGGCCAAUUUUAAACAUAUUCAAUAAAUUAGGGGUCAAAACGUAAAAUCAUUCUAGGCUCUUUUUUAUUAUUUAUUUAUUUGUGGAUUUGAACUAAAUUAAUUUGAUUGAAAUAAUCGUAAAAAUGAUAAUUUAUCAUGUAUAUAUAAAAAUAUAUAGUUAAUAUACAACAUGUCCCAACGUGUCGGAAUUUUCUAUUUAUUGAGAAAUGACUUGUUGUCGCGUUGUGCCGUGUCGUGUCGUGUCGUGUCGCGUGUCAGUGUCGGUGCUACUUAGCUUGUGGGGCUGCUGUUUUAGUGAACUCAUAUGCGUAUAAUCCAUUUUUUAGUUGAAACACAAUAGAGAUAUGGAUUAGAAAGCUCAUGCUCUCCACAGUUCUGAACUUUGAAACUAAUAUCGUGGUGUUGACUUUGUGACCUUAUUUCCUCUGUCCAGGUGUCGUGGAUCAUUGAAUUAAGAACUGUUCAGAGUUGCUAUCUGUGGUCUGUCUCAUCGGCUCCCUUUCGAGUUCACAUGGACAUGGCUUGCUUUCUUCACAUUGUACGGUCACAGACGCAAUUGCUGACGAAGGGCGAAUGACGUGAUCAUGGUGAUUCUUCUUACAGUGACAUUCUUGCUUAGAUUUGAAAAAUAAAUAUUUAAUUCCUGUCCGUCCUUGUAGAUAUUUUUGUGCGGCAGAUGAGUUUCACCUUGUAGACACUGUAAAUUGGUAUAUACUCUUAUAGAUGGAUCUCUAUUUUUUGUACAAACACGCCUUUUAUAUAUUGCUAUAAGAAAGAUGAAUGUGACGAAUGAUGGAAA